UUAAAUGGGUUAACAUCUCAAACCAUUAAAUUAAAUGAGUUAUAGGUUGACCCAACACAUUUAACAAAAUGAGUUGGGUCAACCCAUAACUCAUUUAUUCCUAAACUCAUUUGAUUAUAAGU